CCUACGGGAGGCAGCAGUGGGGAAUAUUGGACAAUGGGGGCAACCCUGAUCCAGCCAUGCCGCGUGCGUGAAGAAGGCCUUAGGGUUGUAAAGCGCUCUCGGCGGGGAAGAUGAUGACGGUACCCGCAGAAGAAGCUCCGGCUAACUCCGUGCCAGCAGCCGCGGUAAU
rnacentral:rRNA from 1 species